rnacentral:tRNA from 1 species
UCCGGGGUAGCUCAACGGUAGAGCGUCUCGCUGUUAACGAGUUGGUUGUCGGUUCGAAUCCGACCCCCGGAG